CAGCAGCCGCGGGAAUACGAAGGGGGCUAGCGUUGUUCGGAUUUACUGGGCGUAAAGGGCGCGUAGGCGGGUCUUUAAGUCAGGGGUGAAAUCCUGGAGCUCAACUCCAGAACUGCCUUUGAUACUGAAGAUCUUGAGUUCGGGAGAGGUGAGUGGAACUGCGAGUGUAGAGGUGAAAUUCGUAGAUAUUAGGAGGAACACCAGCGGCGAAGGCGGCUUUUUGGCCUGUAACUGACACUGAGGCGCGAAAGCGUGGGGAGCAAACAAGAUUAGAUACCCGUGUAGUCCCUGUCUCUUAUAC
rnacentral:rRNA from 1 species